rnacentral:piRNA from 1 species
UUGUCUGUUAUGUUGGAUAUGG